rnacentral:tRNA from 1 species
GGUGUUGUGGCUCAGUGGGAGAGCACUUGCCAGCAUGUGUGAAGCACUGGGUUCGAUCCUCAGCAACACAU